rnacentral:rRNA from 6 species
ACGAACGCUGGCGGCAGGCUUAACACAUGCAAGUCGAACGCCCCGCAAGGGGAGUGGCAGACGGGUGAGUAACGCGUGGGAAUCUACCCAAUUCUUCGGAACAACUGAGGGAAACUUCAGCUAAUACCGGAUGUGCCCUUCGGGGGAAAGAUUUAUCGGAAUUGGAUGAGCCCGCGUUGGAUUAGCUAGUUGGUGGGGUAAAGGCCUACCAAGGCGACGAUCCAUAGCUG